rnacentral:rRNA from 1 species
CCUACGGUGAGCAGCAGUGGGGAAUAUUGCACCAUGGGGGAAACCCUGAUGCAGCGACGCCGCGUGAGUGAAGCAGUAUUUCGGUAUGUAAAGCUCUGUCAGCAGGGAAGAAAAUGACGGUACCUGACCAAGAAGCCCCGGCUAACUACGUGCCAGCAGCCGCGGUAAUCCGUAGGGGGCAAGCGUUAUCCGGAUUUACUGGGUGUAAAGGGAGCGUAGACGGCAGGGCAAGUCUGGAGUGAAAGGCGGGGGCUCAACCCGCGGACGGCACAUGAUACUGCGAGACUAGAGGAAUGGAGGGGGAACCGGAAUUCUCGGUGUAGCAGUGAAAUGCGUAGAGAUUAGGAGGAACACCAGUGGCGAAGGCGGCUUACUGGACUGUAAAUGACGCUGAGGCUCGAAAGCGUGGGGAGCAAACAGGAUUAGAUACCCCUGUAGUC